rnacentral:rRNA from 1 species
ACUCCUACGGGAGGCAGCAGUAGGGAAUUUUCCACAAUGGGCGAAAGCCUGAUGGAGCAACGCCGCGUGCAGGAUGAAUGCCUUCGGGUUGUAAACUGCUUUUAUAUGUGACGAUUAUGACGGUAGCAUAUGAAUAAGGAUCGGCUAACUCCGUGCCAGCAGCCGCGGUAAU